AUUGAACGCUGGCGGCAGGCUUAACACAUGCAAGUCGAGCGAGCGGCGGACGGGUGAGUAAUGUCUGGGAAACUGCCUGAUGGGGGGGGAUAACUACUGGAAACGGGAGCUAAUACCGCAUACCCUGAGAUGUGCCCAAAUGGGAUUAGCUUGUGGGUGGGGUAAUGGCUCACCUAGGCGACGAUCCCUAGCUGGUCUGAGAGGCUGACCAGCCACACUGGAACUGAGACACGGUCCAGACUCCUACGGGAGGCAGCAGUGGGGAAUAUUGCACAAUGGGCGCAAGCCUGAUGCAGCCAUGCCGCGUGUGUGAAGAAGGCCUUCGGGUUGUAAAGCACUUUCAGCGGGGAGGCGUUACUCGCAGAAGAAGCACCGGCUAACUCCGUGCCAGCAGCCGCGGUAAUAC
rnacentral:rRNA from 1 species